rnacentral:misc_RNA from 1 species
UCCGACUUGUCGCCGGCAGUCCCUCUAGAGUGCCCAACCGAAUGCUGGCAACUAGAGGCGAGGGUUGCGCUCGUUGCGGGACUUAACCCAACAUCUCACGACACGAGCUGACGACAACCAUGCACCACCUGUCACCCUGUCCCCCCGAAGGGGGAACGCCCAAUCUCUUGGGUUGUCAGGGGAUGUCAAGACCUGGUAAGGUUCUUCGCGUUGCUUCGAAUUAAACCACAUGCUCCACCGCUUGUGCGGGCCCCCGUCAAUUCCUUUGAGUUUCAGCCUUGCGGCCGUACUCCCCAGGCGGAGUGCUUAUCGCGUUAGCUGCAGCACUAAAGGGUGUGACCCCUCUAACACUUAGCACUCAUCGUUUACGGCGUGGACUAC